rnacentral:rRNA from 1 species
AGCGAACGCUGGCGGCAGGCCUAACACAUGCAAGUCGAACGAACUCUUCGGAGUUAGUGGCGGACGGGUGAGUAACACGUGGAACGUGCCUUUAGGUUCGGAAUAACUCAGGGAAACUUGUGCUAAUACCGAAUGUGCCCUUCGGGGAAAGAUUUAUCGCCUUUAGAGCGGCCCGCGUCUGAUUAGCUAGUUGGUGAGGUAAAGGCUCACCAAGGCUACGAUCAGUAGCUGGUCUGAGAGGAUGACCAGCCACAUUGGGACUGAGACACGGCCCAAACUCCUACGGAGGCAGCAGUGGGGAAUCUUGCGCAAUGGGCGAAAGCCUGACGCAGCCAUGCCGCGUGGAUGAUGAAGGUCUUAGGAUUGUAAAAUCCUUUCACCGGUGAAGAUAAUGACUGUAGCCGGAGAAGAAGCCCCGGCUAACUUCGUGCCAGCAGCCGCGGUAAU